rnacentral:rRNA from 1 species
UACGAAGGGGGCUAGCGUUGCUCGGAAUCACUGGGCGUAAAGCGCACGUAGGCGGAUUGUUAAGUCAGGGGUGAAAGCCCAGAGCUCAACUCUGGAACUGCCUUUGAAACUAGAGGACUUGGGUACGGGAGAGGUGAGUGGAAUUCCGAGUGUAGAGGUGAAAUUCGUAGAUAUUCGGAAGAACACCAGUGGCGAAGGCGGCUCACUGGCCCGUUACCGACGCUCAGGCGCGACAGCGUGGGGAGCAAACAGG